CCACGAUUUAGUUACUUAUUUUAUUAAUUUGCAUAUCGCUAUAGAUUGAAUAUUUUUUAAGAAAUAGAAUAUUCAAGAAUUUUUAUUAGAAAAAAAAUUAGGUCAAGGUGUAGUUUAUAAAUAAGAAGAGAUGGGUUACAAUAAAAUUAUUUACGCGGAUUAAUUUAUAAAAAUUUUUAUGAAGUUGGAUUUGAAAGUAAUUUUAAUUAAUUUAUUAAAAUGAUUUUAGCUCUAAAAUAUGUACAUAUCGCCCGUCACUUUCACUAUAAAGUGGAAUAAGUCGUAACAUAGUAGAUGUACUGGAAAGUGUAUCUAGAACGGCAGAUUAGAGCUUGUUUUAAAGCAUUUUAUUUACAUUAAAAAGUUUAUUGUUAAAAUCAAUAUAAUUUGAAUUAUAAUUAUUAUUAUUAUUGUUGUUUUAGAUAUUUUUUUAUAAUUUAUAAAAAAUAAUUUUUAGUUAGAUUAAUAAUUUGAAAUAAUUAAAUUUAUUAUAGGGUAUUAGUAUUGUUAGAGAAAUAAUUAAAAAUAAUUUAAAAAAUAAUUUAAUUUUAGUACCUUGUGUAUCAGGGUUUAUUAAAUAAAUAUUAAUAAAAUUAAUUUUCUCGAAUUUAAAAGAGCUAUAAAGUUAUAAUUUUUAUUGUUAAAUAAAUAUUAUUAAUAAUUUUAUUGUAAUGAAACGUUAUUCGUUUUUAUAUAUAUCUAGUUUUUUAAGAAAAAAAUUUAAUUUUUUUAGUAAGAAUAUUUUUUUUUAUAUUUAAUUUAAUAUUAUUAUUAUAAAAUAUUUUUAGGGAUGAGCUUGAAAAUAAAAAUUUAUAAAUAAACCAAAUUAGCUUAAAAAGUAGGAUUAUAAAUUUUUAUCUUUAUUAGUGUGUUAUAAUUAGUUUAGUAUAAAAUAUGAUUUGUAGUUAUUUUAAAUUUUUUAUUAAAAUAUUUAUUUAAAUAAUAAAAAUAAAGUAAUAAUGAUAAAAUUAGUAUAAUUUUUAGUAUUGUAAAAAAUAUUUUAGGUUAGAUAAAGGAAUUCGGCAAAUAAUUUUUCACCUGUUUAUUAAAAACAUGGCCUUUUGAGUUUAAUUUAAGGUCUUGCCUGCCCAAUGAUUAAUAUUUAAUGGCCGCGGUAUUUUGACCGUGCAAAGGUAGCAUAAUCAUUUGUUUUUUAAUUGAAAGCUGGAAUGAAAGGUUUAAUGAAAAAAUUACUGUCUCUAUUUAAAUUUAUUAAAAUUUUAUUUUUAAGUUAAAAAGCUUAAUUUGAUUUUGAAGACGAGAAGACCCUAUAGAGUUUAAUAAUUUUUUAGGUUAAGAAAUUUAGUAUUAAUUUUAUUUAAUUUAAAUAAUUAUUUAAUUGGGGUGAUUAAAAAAUUUAAUUAACUUUUUUUUAAGAUUAACACUUAUAAGUGAUAACUUGAUCCUUUUAUAAAGAUUAUAAGAUUAAAUUACCUUAGGGAUAACAGCGUAAUUUUUUUUUAGAGUUCAAAUCAAAAAAAAAGAUUGCGACCUCGAUGUUGGAUUAAAAUUUAUAUUUGGUGUAGUAGCUAAGUGGUUAAGUCUGUUCGACUUUUAAAAUUUUACUUGAUCUGAGUAUCUCAAAAUAAAAAAAAUAUUUUAGUACGAAAGGACCAGAUAUUUAAUUUAAAAUUUUAAAGAUGAAUAAUAUUAGUUAUUUUGGCAGAAUAGUGCAAUAAAUUUAGAAUUUAUAUAUGUAAAUUUUUACAAAUAAUACUUGAUAUUAAAAGAUUUAUUUAUGAUAUUAAUUUCUAUAUUAAUUUUAGCUUUAUGUGUUAUAAUUAGAGUAGCUUUUUUAACUUUAUUGGAACGUAAGGUUUUAGGAUAUAUUCAAAUUC
rnacentral:rRNA from 1 species